AUACUUACCUGGCAGGGUAGAUGCCUGAUCACGAAGGUGGUUAUCCCAGGGUGAGGCUCAUCCAUUGCACUCUGGAUGUGCUAACCCCUGCUAUUUCCUCAAAUGUGGGGAACUCUACUGCAUGAUUUGUGGUAGUGCGGGACUGUGUUUGAGCUUUCCCCUG
ensembl:snRNA U1 U1 spliceosomal RNA